UGUUGGAGCAUACGACGCGAAAAAAACUUCGGUGUCACCUGUGUUGGAAAACAAUCGCUAUCACUCAUUCUACCUAAGGAACCGAGUGAUUUUUCUAUCCUCCCGGGAAGAUAGAGUAGGAAUCUAAACGCUCUACCUAAGCGCCCAAUAAAGACACUUGAAAGGAAUCUAAACGCUUUCUGAGUGCACUCAGAUGGAGAAUUUGAAUGCAGUCCAGACUCUGUUUUUCUAGGGACUCUGAACUAGACAAAAGAAUCAAUAAUCGUGAAUGUCAAGGAAAAGUUGAAAAUCUCGUGAGACCAAUCUUGAGGGCUGUAUUUGUGUCCCGUUUCGUCUCGUUUCGGACCCAUCAGUGAUCCAGUAAUCUAUGAGGCUAAUAAAACAAGAAAUUGAAGGCGUACAAAUCCUAUCAGCUGAGAGUAAUUCUUAAAGAAAUAUAUGCGCUU